GGUAUCUAACCAGAAAGCCACGGCUAACUACGUGCCAGCAGCCGCGGUAAUACGUAGGUGGCAAGCGUUGUCCGGAUUUAUUGGGCGUAAAGCGAGCGCAAGCGGUUUCUUAAGUCUGAUGUGAAAGCCCCCGGCUCAACCGGGGAGGGUCAUUGGAAACUGGGAGACUUGAGUGCAGAAGAGGAGAGUGGAAUUCCAUGU
rnacentral:rRNA from 1 species